UACGUAGGGGGCUAGCGUUGUCCGGAAUCAUUGGGCGUAAAGAGCGUGUAGGCGGCUCGGUAAGUCCGCUGUGAAAGUCGGGGGCUCAACCCUCGAAUGCCGGUGGAUACUGUCGGGCUAGAGUGCGGAAGAGGCGAGUGGAAUUCCUGGUGUAGCGGUGAAAUGCGCAGAUAUCAGGAGGAACACCCAUUGCGAAGGCAGCUCGCUGGGACGUCACUGACGCUGAGACGCGAAAGCGUGGGGAGCAAACAGG
rnacentral:rRNA from 1 species